rnacentral:rRNA from 1 species
GGGUUGUGAGGUUAAGCGACUAAGCGUACACGGUGGAUGCCCUGGCAGUCAGAGGCGAUGAAGGACGUGCUAAUCUGCGAUAAGCGUCGGUGAGGUGAUAUGAACCGUUAUAACCGGCGAUUUCCGAAUGGGGAAACCCAGUGUGUUUCGACACACUAUCAUUAACUGAAUCCAUAGGUUAAUGAGGCGAACCGGGGGAACUGAAACAUCUAAGUACCCCGAGGAAAAGAAAUCAACCGAGAUUCCCCCAGUAGCGGCGAGCGAACGGGGAGGAGCCCAGAGCCUGAAUCAGUGUGUGUGUUAGUGGAAGCGUCUGGAAAGGCGCGCGAUACAGGGUGACAGCCCCGUACACAAAAAUACACAUAUUGUGAGCUCGAUGAGUAGGGCGGGACACGUGGUAUCCUGUCUGAAUA